UAGCUCAGUUCCAUCCUUGGAAAAUAUAUGGUGCAAGAAUAGUUAGUUUGAACCAAAUUAAACUGGUCUACAAAACCUUUUCAAAAAAAUAAAUAAACAAAUGAAAAGAUAAAGAACAAGAAGACAAAUGAUCUCAUUGUAUGAAAAAAUGAAACCUAAGAACAAAAGCAAGAAAUCUUACUUUCAGGGUCUAUCCUAAAUGAGAAAUGGUAUUGCUAAAAGGAUUAAAAUCUAGAAAACGAAGACUAAAGUUACUUAGAAUGCCUAAACAUGUGUAAAUGGAGAAAAGCCAUAGCAUGUUGGCCUUGUUCUCAGUUGCUUUAGAUUUUGUAAAAUCUGAUUAUAGAAACUUUUUCUGUUAUUAAAAAAAUCCUAUAAUCAAAAUAUAAAAGCAACAGACAACAUUUUAAAAGCUGAUUAUCUAUAAUUAGAAUCUAUAACUAGUUAAAAUAAUAGCACUUGCUGAUCAUCAUGGCUAAACAGGUCUUUAGGGAAAAAUAUAAUAGUACUUGCUGAUCUAUCCUAGACAAAUUUUGUUCUAAUGAAACUCAUCUCGAUAUCGAUCCAGCAGGGAGAUAAACAACCUUUCUAGCUGGCGUUUCCUG